rnacentral:rRNA from 1 species
CCACCUACGGGAGGCAGCAGUGGGGAAUAUUGCACAAUGGGGGAAACCCUGAUGCAGCGACGCCGCGUGAGUGAAGAAGUAUCUCGGUACGUAAAGCUCUAUCAGCAGGGAAGAAAAUGACGGUACCUGACUAAGAAGCCCCGGCUAACUACGUGCCAGCAGCCGCGGUAAUACGUAGGGGGCAAGCGUUAUCCGGAUUUACUGGGUGUAAAGGGAGCGUAGACGGCAGCGCAAGUCUGGUGUGAAAUGCCGGGGCCCAACCC